CCUACGGGAGGCAGCAGUGAGGAAUAUUUGGCAAUGGUCGCAAGCCUGACCCAGCAACGCCGCGUGAAGGAAGAAGGCUUUCGGGUUGUAAACUUCUUUUGUCAGGGACGCAGCAAGUGACGGUACCUGACGAAUAAGCCACGGCUAACUACGGGCCAGCAGCCGCGGUAAUACGUAGGUGGCAAGGGUUAUCCGGAUUUACUGGGUGUAAAGGGCGUGUAGGCGGGACUGCAAGUCAGAUGUGAAAACCACGGGGUCAACCUGUGGCCUGCAUUUGAAACUGUAGUUCUUGAGUACUGGAGAGGCAGACGGAAUUCCUAGUGUAGCGGUGAAAUGCGUAGAUAUUAGGAGGAACACCAGUGGCGAAGGCGGUCUGCUGGACAGCAACUGACGCUGAGGCGCGAAAGCGUGGGGAGCAAACAGGAUUAGAUACCCUUGUAGUC
rnacentral:rRNA from 1 species